AUGUCUUUUUGAUUGUGGGGGAAACCAGAGCAUCCGGAGAAAACCCAGCAGAGAUAUGGGGAGAACAUGCAAAUUCCACAGAGAGGAGGACCUGGGAUGACCAGGUUGGACAACCCCGGGGAUCGAACCCAGGACCUUCUUACUGUGAGACCCAUUCCUGUUACUGGCCCCGCCCCUUACCUGGGACCUGUAACAUUUCUUGGCGCCGAACGUGGGGCGAGCAUCUGAUGACCGGGGAUGCUCGUCCGUGCAACAGAACCCAAGUGACCAGACCGGCUGAUGAUCACCUCAAAGACGUCUAGGACUGUGGACUGUGAAAGAUGGCCGACACUGACAAGGUAGCCGUAGGUGACGACGAAAGAAAGAGACUGAUUUGGCAGAUAAAGAAAGGACUUCACAAGCUGACCGAUGAGACUCUCGUGAGACAGGUGAACAAGAUAUGCAGCGA